rnacentral:rRNA from 1 species
UGGGGAAUUUUGGACAAUGGGCGCAAGCCUGAUCCAGCCAUGCCGCGUGUCUGAAGAAGGCCUUCGGGUUGUAAAGGACUUUUGUCAGGGAAGAAAAGGCUUUUGCUAAUACCAGGAGCUGAUGACGGUACCUGAAGAAUAAGCACCGGCUAACUACGUGCCAGCAGCCGCGGUAAUACGUAGGGUGCGAGCGUUAAUCGGAAUUACUGGGCGUAAAGCGGGCGCAGACGGUUUGUUAAGCAGGAUGUGAAAUCCCCGGGCUCAACCUGGGAACUGCGUUCUGAACUGGCAGGCUAGAGUGUGUCAGAGGGGGGUAGAAUUCCACGUGUAGCAGUGAAAUGCGUAGAGAUGUGGAGGAAUACCGAUGGCGAAGGCAGCCCCCUGGGAUAACACUGACGUUCAUGCCCGAAAGCGUGGGUAGCAAACA